UUCUUACUUAAAAGAAGAAAAAUAAGGGACAAAAGCUUAUUUAUAACUGCUUUAUCAAUGAAUGAUAUUGCUAGAAUAAUAGCAAGGGCUUCCAAGGCAAUACACUCUUCAAAAGGCAAUCAUUAUACAGCAUACAUUUCAGAAUGUUAUCAGUUUAAAAUUAUAAAUACAAUGUAAUUUUUAUGUCCAAGGGAGUUACACAAAAUAAUGGGGUAGAGACCUGAGGGGGAGAGCAUUAAAACAGAUGGAAGUAAAGGCAGAGAUUUUCUAAGUGUCACAUGAAAACAGUUUAUUGUUUGACCUUGCACAAUUAAUUCUGUAAUCCAUCUAGGAUCUAUUUUUGUUCAUGGUGUGAGGUAGGGGUGUCAAGAUACUUUUUUACUCCAAUGCAUAAUCCAUUGGCUCAGCAUUAUUAUUUAAAUUAACAUGUUUGCCCCACUACACUGACACAAAUAUGUCAAAAAUCAGAUGACCAUGUAUUUUUGGUUCUUUAUUGGAGAGUUCUGUUGGUCACUUUGUUGUCCGUGAAUCAUAGCAGUUUUAAAAAAUCAUUAAUUUUAUCUGCUUUGUCACUCUUUUGUUUCAGUGGGGGAAAAAAACUGAGAAAAUUGUCCCAUACUUCUUAAAUAUUGCUAUUCAUGGAUUGCAGAUGGCAGAGCAUAAACUGAGCUCUUUUUUGGGGGGGGCGGGGAGGGUUGAAAAUGGUUUGUUUCAACUGUUUGUGAACUUCUCAAAGAAUUUUUUUAAGGUACAAUUUUUUUCUAUUAAAUGCCAUUAAGAAAAGAUUUGAGAUUCUAACUACAUUUCUAUCAUUCUAAGCAGUAAUAUUUUUUAGCUAAAAAGACAAAGAUUAUAGCUCAUAGCUUUUGAUAGCUGCUGUCUCCUGGGUUCUGAAAGGGCAAUCUGGUGGAUGAAUUGUGUAGCAGGAGUAGUAUAAACAAAAUUUAGGGAAAACAAGGAGUAAAGAUUAUUUUUUUUAUUUUGGAGCUGUUCACCUGUCCUAUUUGUGUCUUUCUGCUACUUAUAAAUAGGUUAAAACUGCUCACAGUCAUAAAAACACUUGGAUAAAACCUAAUAGUGAAAAUCUGUUUAGAAAUGAAACUGUGGUAGAAGUAGUAUCUCCAUGAGAAUAAUUUUUUAUUUAUUCUAGAAUUUACUUCGCUAUUCCUUUCAUAUUGAAAUUUCUAAAUACUUUUUAGAAAUCAAAGUAUUUAGAGUAAUUAAAGUAUUUAUGUUUUUAUGCAUAACAAAAGCUGUAACUUUUCAGGACUUGACUUUGAAGCACUGCUGUACAAUUCCUGUAUCGAUCUCCCUUCCAAACUGUCUUUCUCUCAAGUUUAUUUUCCAUAAGCCCAUAUUACACAGUUUUUUUUCAGCUAGGUGUACUCUGAAUAAUAUUUCACUGUUUCAGGUUCUGAGGUCACCAGCACUCCCUCACAUUCUCACAGACACCAGGUGACUGCAAAAUUGUCCUUCAAAACUGCAGCAUCAUUCACUACCCCCAGGGCAAAGCUUAUGCAUAUGUUAUUCUCUGGAGAUAGGAAGUGGAAAAUGUACACUUUUCCCUCUAGCUUUCUCAGCAGAAAAGCCAUCUAGAGAUAGUACCAUUAUUCAUUCCAGAGACACGCAUAAAGUCUAACACCCAAUUGUACUGUUUGAUUUACCAUUUCAAGUUUCAUUGACAGGUUAUAGAAGGUAAGGAUUUGAAGGCAGAAUAAAGUGCUGCCCUUGUUUUCCAAGAAGCUCCUGGAAUAUUCCGAGAAAUCAUUUAAAAGAAUAUUAAAUUUAAAGGGACACAGAUUUUUUAACAAACCAACAUCCACUUUUACUGACGUAACACGGGGCCCAUGACUUGCGCAUGCUCAGAUACAUCAAGUGGGGCAGGACAGGACCUCAAAUAACGCUGUGUCACUGACAUUGGAAUUCGAUCAUUGAAAGAAUUGCAUCCACUCCCCGGGCUCUCAAAACAAAUUAAGCGCCACCCGUGCAUGGCCUCUGAAAACGGUCUCCCUAUUCCCUGAGAUGCAACAAUAUUGAAAUUAGGCCAAUUAAUAACCCAACAGUGGCCCCUAAGUGUUCAAGUAAAUGGAACACUCACACAUCUCUCACACAAUUUAAAUCAAAAGCUGGAAAUUAUUCAACUUAGUGAGAAAGACAUGUCAACAGACAAGACAGGUCCAAAGCAAAGCCCCUUCUACUGAAGAGUUCACCAAGUUGUGAAGGCAAAGGAAAAGUUAUUGAAGGAAAUUAAAAGUACUACUACAGUGAACAAAUGAAGGGUAAGAAAGUGAAACAGCUUUAUUGCUGAUAUGGAGAAGCUUUUAGUGGUCUGGAUGGAAGAUUAAUUCAUAGCAAAGUGCUAACUCUCUUCAGUUCUAUGAAGGCUGAGAGAGGUGAGGAAACUUCAGAAGAAAAGUUGGCAGCUAGCAGAGGUUUGUUUAUGAAGUUUAAGGAAAAAGCCCUCUUCAUAACAUAAAAGUGCAAGUUGAAGCAGCAAGUGGUGAUGGAGAAGCUGCAGCAAGUUACCCAGAAGAUCUAGCUAAGAGAAUUGAUGAAGGCAGCUGAACUAAACAGCAGACUUUGAAUGCAGAAAAAACAGCCUUCUACUGGAAGAAGACGCCAUGCAGGACUUUCAUAUUAAAGGGCAACAAAUCAAUGCCUGGCUUCCAAACUGCAAAAGACAGGCUGACUCACUAAUUAGGGACUAAUGCAACUGGUGACUUUAAGUUGAAUCCAAUACUUAUUUACAAAUUUGAAAAUCCUGGGGCCCUUAAGAAUUUUGCUAAAUCUACCCUGCCUGUGCUCUCUAAAUGGAACAACAAAGCCUGAAUGACAGCACAUCUGUUUACAGCAUGAUUUACUAAAUUUUAAUCCUACCGUGGACACCUGCUACUCAGAAGAAAAGAGUUCUUUCAAACUAUUAUUCUUAUUUCACAAUGUACCUGGUAACUCAAGAGCUCUGAUGGAGAUGUACAAGGAAAUUAAUGUUGUUUUCAUACUUUCUGGCACAGCAUUCUGCAGCCCACAAAUCAAGGAGUAAAUUUGAUUUUCAAGUCUUAUUAUUAAAGAAAUAUAUUUUGUAAGACUAUGGCUGCCAUAUAUAGGGAUUCCUCUGGUGGAUCUUGGUAAAGCAAAUUGAAAACCUUGUGGAAAUGAUUCACCAUUCCAGAUGUCAUUAAGAACAUUUGUGAUUUGGGCUGUGGGCAGUGGCUAAUGCCUAUAAUCACUGCACUUUGGGAGGCCAAGGCAGGAGGAUCACCUAAGGUCAGGAGUUCAAGACCAGCCUGGCCAACAUGGUGAAACCCCAUCUCUACUAAAAUCACAAAAAUUAGCCAAGCGUGGUGGCAGGAGCCUAUAAUCCCAGCUACUAGGAGGCCCUGAGGCAGGAGAAUUGCUUGAACCCAGGAGGCAGAGGUUGCAGUGAGCCAAGAUCACGACAUUGCACUCCAGCCUGGGCAACAAGAGCAAAACUCCAUCUUAAAGAAAGAAAGAGAGAACAUUUCUGAUUUGUGGAGGAGAUCAAGCUGUCAACAUGAACAGGAGUUUGGAAGUCAACCCUAACAGAUGACUUUGAGUGGUUUAAGACUUCAAUGGAGGAAGUAACUGCAGAUGUGGUGGUAGUAGCAAGGUAAUUCAGAUUAGAAGUGGAACCCGAAGAUGUGUCUGAAUUGCUGCAAUCUUAUGAUAAAAUUUGAAUGAAUAAGGAGUUGCUUCUUAUGAAUGAGCAAAUAAAGUGGUUUCUUGAGAUAGACUCUACUUCCUGGUGAAGAUGCUGUGAACAUUAUGGAAAUAACAACAAAGGAUUUGGAAUAUUACAUCAAUUCAGGGAAAGGAAUACCAUGGUGGAACUGCAAGAUGGCAUUAAAGUUCCUGCUUGGCAGUGCCACAAGUCACUUGGGCUUAUUUUGGACUGGCCAAAGCAAGUCAUGAGAAGCAGUAAAAUAUUGGCUGUUUCCUUUCCUCAGAAAUGGUUUAUGGAAGAUCAUAAAUAUAAAAAUAAUAGCUAAAAUUUAUUGGAAUACCAUUUACAUGCCAGGGCUUUACUAAGCAUUUACAGAUGGGAACACUUAAUUCUCACAGCAUCCCUGAGGCAUUGGCACCUCUCAUCACUUCCUCCCUUUAUAUCCUUCAAAUGUAUGAAGUGUUGCAUUGCAAAGGACUUUGCCCUCUGCUGAGACAUUUUCCCAGAUAAUCAGCAGCAAAAUCUUCAAAAAUUUGGCCUCCAUUUUGUGGAAGCAGCUAUCCAUAUGCCAUAUUCUACUGAGGAUGGAGUCUUCUUUGCCAGCAGGGAGGUCACUAUGAACAAACAAAAUCUGAUUGAGAGACUAUGCCGAGCAAGGUGAUAAGUAGGUUGUUUAUAUUUCUUUCUCAAUAUCAAAAUAAUAUACUUUAUCUCGAAUCUUUCUGUUAUUUUGAGUCACAUGAAACCAUUGAUGGAUACUCGGGUAAUCAGAGUUUCAGAAAAAGCCCCAGUGGCCCUAAGACUCCUAUUCACUGCCUUUAUGGCCCAUUGGACUGAUCAGAGGAGGACGAGAAGAGGGCACAACUUAGAAGCUAUGACUUGGGGCCUCCUAAGCUGGGUCUGUGAGUAGGACAUGAUGUUGGGCAUCCAGAAAAAUAGUCUAGUCCUAUCCCCUGCCUGAGUUCAUGAUGCUUAAACUUCAAGUUAUGUUUUUUGGUUUUUUUCUUUUUUGGUUUAUACUGUGAAAGAUUUUUAACACAAUUUGUGAUUAAGACUUUUGCUCUCAAGUGUCAAAUAGUUUAUGCACCACAGGGAAUGUCUGCCAAUCAAAUAGUUUCAAUGGAACAUUUUUAAAAAAUUCAGUGUCUGUAAUCACCUCUAAUUAUGAUUUUCUGCACAGUCUACUCUGGAAAGA